rnacentral:rRNA from 1 species
CAGCAGUGGGGAAUAUUGCACAAUGGGCGCAAGCCUGAUGCAGCAACGCCGCGUGCGGGAUGACGGCCUUCGGGUUGUAAACCGCUUUCAAUUGUGACGAAGCUUUUUGUGACGGUAGCAGUAGAAGAAGCACCGGCUAACUACGUGCCAGCAGCCGCGGUGAUACGUAGGGUGCGAGCGUUGUCCGGAUUUAUUGGGCGUAAAGAGCUUGUAGGUGGUUUGUCGCGUCGGGAGUGAAAACUCAGGGCUUAACUCUGAGCUUGCUUUCGAUACGGGCUGACUUGAGGGAGGUAGGGGAGAAUGGAAUUCCUGGUGGAGCGGUGGAAUGCGCAGAUAUCAGGAGGAACACCGGUGGCGAAGGCGGUUCUCUGGACCUUUCCUGACGCUGAGAAGCGAAAGCGUGGGGAGCGAACAGGCUUAGAUACCCUGGUAGUCCACGCUGUAAACGUUGGGCACUAGGUGUGGGGGCCACCCGUGGUUUCUGCGCCGUAGCUAACGCUUUAAGUGCCCCGCCUGGGGAGUACGGCCGCAAGGCUAAAACUCAAAGGAAUUGACGGGGGCCCGCACAAGCGGCGGAGCAUGCGGAUUAAUUCGAUGCAACGCGAAGAACCUUACCUGGGUUUGACAUAUGCCGGAAGCGUUCAGAGAUGGGCGUGCCUUUUUGGUCGGUUUACAGGUGGUGCAUGGCUGUCGUCAGCUCGUGUCGUGAGAUGUUGGGUUAAGUCCCGCAACGAGCGCAACCCUCGUCCAAUGUUGCCAGCGGGUUAUGCCGGGGACUCAUUGGAGACCGCCGGGGUCAACUCGGAGGAAGGUGGGGAUGACGUCAAGUCAUCAUGCCCCUUAUGUCCAGGGCUUCACGCAUGCUACAAUGGCCGGUACAGUGAGCUGCGAGCCUGUGAGGGUGAGCGAAUCUCUAAAAGCCGGUCUCAGUUCGGAUUGGGGUCUGCAACUCGACCCCAUGAAGUCGGAGUCGCUAGUAAUCGCAGAUCAGCAACGCUGCGGUGAAUACGUUCCCGGGCCUUGUACACACCGCCCGUCAAGUCACGAAAGUUGGUAACACCCAAAGCCGGUGGCCUAACCCUUCGGGGAGGGAGCCGUCUAAGGUGGGAUUGGCGAUUGGGACUAAGUCGUAACAAGGUAGCCGUACCGGAAGGUGCGGCUG